rnacentral:rRNA from 1 species
CCUACGGGGGGCAGCAGCGAGGAAUAUUGCGCAAUGGGGGCAACCCUGACGCAGCAACGCCGCGUGAAGGAAGACGGUUUUCGAAUUGUAAACUUCUUUUCUGAGGGAAGAGAAAGGACGGUACCUCAGGAAUAAGGCCCGGCUAACUACGUGCCAGCAGCCGCGGU